rnacentral:lncRNA from 10 species
ACCCACUGGGGGACAGCACCAACCCGAGGACAUGAUGAUGAUGAAGAUGAUGAUGAUGGUGAAGAUGAUGAUGAUGAUGCCACCCCUUCUUCAGCGUCUACUCUGAGCCUGGCCUUGUCCUAAAAGCUCAUCUAUUAACUCAUUCUGAUCUUGCCAAAGCCCUCUGAAGUUAGUGCUGUCAUCAUCACCACUUUACAGCUGGAGGAAGUGGAGACAGAGGUCAGGGAACCUGAACUCUAGGUUACCCAGCUGAGGGCACAGCCGGGAUUCAAACCCAGGCAUCCGGCUCCAGGCUGUACCACCUCAUCGCCUGGGGACGAGACUCAUCCUGUGAUUGAGGAAUGCAUGCAGCCUCUCUUGACACUGACGCCCACGCCCAGAAGCCUCGUUGGAGGAUAAGGGGGCUUAACAGCUUGGAGGUCAUGCAGAUCUGGGUUCCAGGCCCAGUCCUGUGUGGCCUCAGUUUUCCCAUCUGUCAAACGGGGACAAUCGUGGCACCCGCUUCCCAGUUGUGGAGAGGACUCAGGUGAUGGAGGCAACUCAUCCUUUUGGGGUUCAGCACAAGGUGGGCAUCCCACAGUGGUCGGCAAGCUUGGGGGUGGGCUCCGGAUCCAGCUCCUAGAGGAGCAGACCCCAGCAGCUUGUGGUUUGAGCCAUGCCCGUCAGCUCUCAGUUUCCUUCACUGACUAUUGGGUAUGAUAAACAGGGUCCCUGAAAGUGAAGUUGGAGAGCUGAGUGCCAG